GACGUUGGGCGCGAGCGUUGUCCGGAUUUAUUGGGCGUAAAGAGCUCGUAGGCGGCUUGUCGCGUCGUCCGUGAAAACCUGCGGCUCAACUGCAGGCUGGCGGUCGAUACGGGCAGGCUGGAGUUCGGUAGGGGAGACUGGAAUUCCUGGUGUAGCGGUGAAAUGCGCAGAUAUCAGGAGGAACACCGAUGGCGAAAGCAGCUUCUUGGCCCAAUCCUGACGCUGAUGCACGAAAGCGUGGGGAGCAAACAGG
rnacentral:rRNA from 1 species